rfam:Schistosoma rodhaini strain Burundi genome assembly, scaffold: SROB_scaffold0002851
AUCUAGUUGACAAGUCCCAAAUAGGACGAGAUGCCCAUCCUGGAU